GUAACGAUAACUACAAUACGGAAGAUUUAAAAAAGGAGCGUCAAUAUCAAAUGGCACCGAUGUGGAAAAAACACUUCGACGGAACCGGGCAAGGCUAAUGCUGUGCAGGGACUUCUGGAUGACGUCGACAGCAAAAGAAACAUCAAUGAGGUCGACACGCCUGACGAGUAAAAUGGUUCUACAUCGCCUUGAAUUUGGACUUACUUAAUUCUAAGAUCUGAUCAAGCAACGUCCCUGCAUUGUUCGCGUUCCGCUGUUCUUCCUUAAAAAAUCAGUAUGGGUACUAAUAGGAUCCCGCUAGUAGCUCGACGUGUUCACGCACUCGGGAAACCUAUAUACACCAAACAGCGGCUUUCCUCGAUCGUGUCUGCAUAGUAGCCAUUAUGACUUCGAGGAAUCGACGAAGUACUACCUACCGAAGUUUUACAUUACUAGAACAGAAGACCUUCACCCCGGUAGCAGCACAACGAGCCGAAGUAAUCGAGAAGGGUAACUGAAGGCCCUCUGAGCGUUUGCCCUAUGCCCUACAUCGCCCUAGAUAGACGUCGCUAGCUUAAUAGAAGUAGUACAAUCGUGCCAUUUUGAAACGCACUUAUGUAUCAAACGAAGGCGCUGUCCGAAGAACGUCUUUAGAAAUUGGAAUUCGCGCUAUGAGAGUAGUCUCCAAACCACGAUAUACGUAUUAUUUUCUGCUUCAAUCAACUUACUUAUUGUCCAAGACCACGAUCCUGCUCGGUGCUCGAUUUGUCUGCAUAGUCACCAUACAGAUUUGAAAGAAAUUCAACGAAAUAUCGCUAGCCAAUGUUUGCCACACUAGCAGUAUAAAAGAUAAUUGCCCUGGUAGCAGCAUAGUGAGACGAAGUAAUAAGGACGACUAACUUAAAGGCUACUAUAAGCGUACCUACGUCGUCCUGUAUACCCUACGUCGUCCUGGAUGGACGAAUGAAGAAGCAGCCACCUAGAUACACGAAAUAAACGCACUACGACAAUGUGUUAGACCACAACGUUAUAAACGGUGAAAUUUGACUGCGUAUUGGGAGGAUUCAACGACCAAAGAAGGAGAGACUUGAAAAGCUAUACAACAUACGCAAGCAAGAACUCAACGGUGAUGACUGUCAUUAACGUCCUUCAUAAUGCCUUGCCGGCCUGAAUGAUCUGUGUACACGGAGGGUGAUAAAUGACACCUGGAGGGGGUGAUAGAGGAGCGAUGCAAUGUCACGAAACGUGAUUAAGCCAGCAAGAACAACAAGGGUCAAGACCCAAGCCCAUCAAAAGUUAUGUGGACGGGACAAGGGAGCGUGGAUGGACUCUCUAGCAGAUGAAGGGGAGAAACUGGAUAGAAAUGGCGAUAUCCGUCUCCUACUACAUAUCGAAACGCUUAAGAGGAUCAAUUCUGGAAUCAUUAAUUAAAAUAUUAAAGCAAUAAUAAGAACAGCAGCAAUAAUACUACAACAUGGCAGUUAAAAAAACGCCAACGUCAAUAUCAAAUAACUGGUAUGCAAAAACACUUCAAUGAAGACGGCUCAAGGGUAAUGCUGUGCCGGGACUUCUGCACUACGUCGACAACCAAAGAACAUCAAUAAUCAAAACUCGUAGCUGGUGUGAUAAAAUGAAUUGCGGGAAUAAAAAAAAACAAUUUUCUACUACGAUGCUUAAGCUUCAAGAUCACGUUCCUGCUCAGCAGUCGAUGUUGACCGAGAAGGAGUCUAUUUCUACACGACACAGCAAUUAAUGCCUGAUAAUAGCACUUCCGCAUCGUGUCUCCAUCUCAGCCAUGCCGAGGUCAAACAAGGCUUGAAAUGCCGGUUGUCUAGGUUCAACACACUAGCAGUAUAAAAAAAAUAUCAUCACGGUACCUUCACAACUAACCAAAGAAAUCUAGGCGGGUUAUUUUGUACGUUAACUUUCGAUAGACAGGUUAAAGAUAAGUUUGUAAACCAUUCUUAAACUAAAUAACAGAGUUUCAUGCCUAUGUGAAGACAUCGACAAAUAAGAAUCGAAAGAAUAUCAUGAGCUUUAAUGGCUAUAUAUUUGAAGCAAGCAAAGACCGCUUGGCGAUUUUAGCCGGAUAAGUAAGUAAAAUAAGUAAGAAAUUGCUAUACAUGGCUUACAGUAGCUAACGAUAAUUUUAAGAAACAACCAACAUUAUAAGAGCAAAAUAAAUAAACGUUUGUUUUUCUAGGUUUAUCUGCAAAACUUUCUUUCAUUUAAAAAGUUAACAAUACUUUACAUAUAUAUGAGGAUAAUUUCACGGUGCAAAUUGUCAUAUUACUAUCAUUGUCUCUAAAAUAGAUGUUUUAAAACAAAUUCGAACUCUCAUCUCAUAUUACAUCCUAGCAUUUUUUUAUCGAUCAUUUUUCAAACUUAUUGCUGCACCACUUACAUGUACGAACUCUCCUUGCACAGUAAUUUUGUAACUAAACUGAAUGAAUAAGCACAAAAACAAUCGGGAUCGGAAAACAAAAAGCAGCAAAAAUGACGAUUGGUUUCUUCACAAUCGUGUAUUAUUCGCACCGAAUCGACCGCAAAAUGAAUUAUCACUGCAAUUGAAUUGAAUGCAAUGCGAGUAAAUGCACACUAACUCACUUUGACGGUAACAGCAGUAGUAUACGAAUUAUUUAUCUAUAUUGUUACAUUGUUUAUGUAUUAUUGUUAAUUGACCGUUCUACCAUGUGGCAAGAACUCAUGAUACACAACGCCUCUGCAGUCGGAAAAACAACUGUAAUGUUAGUGUCUUGAUACUUUUUGAACCGAAUUCGUACAUAUAAAAGAUCGAAAAACACAUAAACACCUAU